rnacentral:rRNA from 1 species
UACGGAGGGAGCUAGCGUUGUUCGGAUAUACUGGGCGUAAAGCGCACGUAGGCGGCGCCGUAAGUCAGGGGUGAAAUCCUGGAGCUCAACUCCAGAACUGCCUUUGAUACUGGCGAUCUUGAGUCCGGGAGAGGUGAGUGGAACUGCGAGUGUAGAGGUGAAAUUCGUAGAUAUUCGCAAGAACACCAGUGGCGAAGGCGGCUCACUGGCCCGGUACUGACGCUGAGGUGCGAAAGCGUGGGGAGCAAACAGG